UCACGAAGAACUCCGAUUGCGAAGGCAGCUUGCUGGACUGNAACUGACGCUGAGGCACGAAAGCGUGGGGAUCAAACAGGAUUAGAUANCNNGGUANNCCACNNCNUAAACGAUGAAUGCUAGCUGUUAGCGAUAUACUGUUAGCGGCACAGAGAAAUCGUUAAGCAUUCCACCUGGGGAGUACGCCGGCAACGGUGAAACUCAAAGGAAUUGACGGGGGCCCGCACAAGCGGAGGAACAUGUGGUUUAAUUCGAUGAUACGCGAGGAACCUUACCUGGGCUUAAAUUGCAGUGGAAUAACGUGGAAACAUGUUAGCCUUCGGGCCGCUGUGAAGGUGCUGCAUGGUUGUCGUCAGCUCGUGCCGUGAGGUGUCGGCUUAAGUGCCAUAACGAGCGCAACCCUCAUCGAUAGUUACUAACAGGUUAAGCUGAGGACUCUAUCGAGACUGCCGACGUAAGUCGUGAGGAAGGUGGGGAUGACGUCAAAUCAGCACGGCCCUUACGUCCAGGGCUACACACGUGUUACAAUGGGGGGUACAAAGGGCAGCUACCUGGCGACAGGAUGCUAAUCUCAAAAACCUCUCUCAGUUCGGAUUGGAGUCUGCAACCCGACUCCAUGAAGCUGGAUUCGCUAGUAAUCGCGCAUCAGCCACGGCGCGGUGAAUACGUUCCCGGGCCUUGUACACACCGCCCGUCAAGCCAUGGGAGCCGGGGGGACCUGAAGUAUGCAACCGUAAGGAGCGUCCUAGGGUAAAACUGGUGACUGGGGCU
rnacentral:rRNA from 1 species